AGAGUUUGAUCAUGGCUCAGGAUGAACGCUAGCGGCGGGCCUAAUACAUGCAAGUCGAGCGGAUGUAGCAAUACAUUAGCGGCGGACGGGUGCGUAACGCGUAAGCAACCUACCUUUCAGCGGGGGACAACGUUCCGAAAGGGACGCUAAUACCGCAUAAAGCAGGGACCCCACCUGGGGAUAUUGCUAAAGGCUUCGGCCACUGAAAGAUGGGCUUGCGUCCGAUUAGCUAGUUGGCGGGGUAACGGCCCACCAAGGCGACGAUCGGUAGCUGGUCUGAGAGGAUGAUCAGCCACACUGGCACUGAGACACGGGCCAGACUCCUACGGGAGGCAGCAGUAGGGAAUAUUGGGCAAUGGGCGAAAGCCUGACCCAGCCACGCCGCGUGCGGGAAGAAGGCCCACAGGGUUGUAAACCGCUUUUCUCCGGGAAUAAGGCGCCACCCGGUGGCGUUUGCAGGUACCGGAGGAAUAAGCACCGGCAAACUACGUGCCAGCAGCCGCGGUAAUACGUAGGGUGCAAGCGUUGUCCGGAUUUACUGGGUUUAAAGGGUGCGCAGGCGGCUGCGCAAGUCCGGGAUGAAAUGGCGGGGCUCAACCCCGUCGCCGUCCCGGAUACUGCGUGGCUAGAGUCGCGGUGAGGAAGCCGGAAUGGAUGGUGUAGCGGUGAAAUGCGUAGAGAUCAUCCGGAACGCCAAUUGCGAAGGCAAGCUUCUGACCGCGCACUGACGCUCAGGCACGAAAGCGUGGGUAGCGAACAGGAUUAGAUACCCUGGUAGUCCACGCCCUAAACUAUGGAUACUCGCUAUCCGGGAGCUUCUCCUGGGUGGCUGAGCGAAAGCGUUAAGUAUCCCACCUGGGGAGUACGCUCGCAAGGGUGAAACUCAAAGGAAUUGACGGGGGCCCGCACAAGUGGUGGAGCAUGUGGUUUAAUUCGAUGAUACGCGAGGAACCUUACCUGGGCUAAAUCCAAGAGGACCGGCGCCGAAAGGUGUCUUCCCGCAAGGGUCUUUUGGAAGGUGCUGCAUGGCUGUCGUCAGCUCGUGCCGUGAGGUGUUGGGUUAAGUCCCGCAACGAGCGCAACCCCUGUGUCCAGUUGCCAGCAUUAAGUUGGGGACUCUGGACAGACUGCCUCCGUAAGGAGUGAGGAAGGGGGGGACGACGUCAAGUCAUCAUGGCCCUUACGCCCAGGGCCACACACGUGCUACAAUGGGCGGUACAGCGGGAUGCAAUGUCGCGAGGCGGAGCAAAUCCCACAAAGCCGUUCCCAGUUCGGAUAGCAGUCUGCAACUCGACUGCUUGAAGCCGGAAUCACUAGUAAUCGCGGAUCAGCCAUGCCGCGGUGAAUACGUUCCCGGGCCUUGUACACACCGCCCGUCAAGCCAUGGGAGCCGGGGGCGCCUGAAGUCGCGGGUUAAUCCGCGCCGAGGGCGAAACUGGUGACUAGGGCUAAGUCGUAACAAGGUA
rnacentral:rRNA from 1 species